UCUUGGUCAUUUAGAGGAAGUAAAAGUCGUAANAAGGUUUCCGUAGGUGAACCUGCGGAAGGAUCAUUAAAGAAAUUUAAUAAUUUUGAAAAUGGAUUUUUUUGUUUUGGCAAGAGCAUGAGAGCUUUUACUGGGCAAGAAGACAAGAGAUGGAAAGUCCAGCCGGGCCUGCGCUUAAGUGCGCGGUCGUGCUAGGCUUGUAAGUUUCUUUCUUGCUAUUCCAAACGGUGAGAGAUUUCUGUGCUUUUGUUAUAGGACAAUUAAAACCGUUUCAAUACAACACACUGUGGAGUUUUCAUAUCUUUGCGACUUUUUCUUUGGGCAUUCGAGCAAUCGGGGCCCAGAGGUAACAAACACAAACAAUUUUAUCUAUUCAUUGAAUUUUUGUCAAAAACAAGAAUUUUCGUAACUGGAAAUUUUAAAAUAUUAAAAACUUUCAACAACGGAUCUCUUGGUUCUCGCAUCGAUGAAGAACGCAGCGAAAUGCGAUACGUAAUGUGAAUUGCAGAAUUCCGUGAAUCAUCGAAUCUUUGAACGCACAUUGCGCCCCUUGGUAUUCCAGGGGGCAUGCCUGUUUGAGCGUCAUUUCCUUCUCAAACAUUCUGUUUGGUAGUGAGUGAUACUCUUUGGAGUUAACUUGAAAUUGCUGGCCUUUUCAUUGGAUGUUUUUUUUCCAAAGAGAGGUUUCUCUGCGUGCUUGAGGUAUAAUGCAAGUACGGUCGUUUUAGGUUUUACCAACUGCGGCUAAUCUUUUUUUAUACUGAGCGUAUUGGAACGUUAUCGAUAAGAAGAGAGCGUCUAGGCGAACAAUGUUCUUAAAGUUUGACCUCAAAUCAGGUAGGAGUACCCGCUGAACUUAAGCAUAUCAAUAAGCGGAGGAA
rnacentral:rRNA from 1 species